rnacentral:rRNA from 1 species
UACGGAGGGUGCAAGCGUUAUCCGGAUUCACUGGGUUUAAAGGUUGCGUAGGAGGGCAGGUAAGUCAGUGGUGAAAUCCUGCAGCUCAACUGUAGAAUUGCCAUUGAUACUGGAUAGCUUGAGUACAGACGAGGUAGGCGGAAUUUAUGGUGUAGCGGUGAAAUGCAUAGAUACCAUAAAGAACCCCUAUUGCGAAGGCAGCUUACUAGGCUGUAACUGACGCUGAGGCACGAAAGCGUGGGGAUCAAACAGG